AUAUGGUCAAGCGAAUAAGGGUCCACGGAGGAUGCCUAGGAGCUGCCAGGCGAAGAAGGACGUGAUUAGCUGCGAAAAGCCGGGGGGAGGAGCCAAUAUCCCUUGAUCCCCGGGUAUCCGAAUGGGGUAACCCACCGGCCUAGAUGGCCGGUAUCCGCACACGAAUAUAUACUGUGCGGAGGGCAGACGCGGGGAACUGAACCAUCUAAGUACCCGCAGGAAAAGAAAUCAAACGAGAUUCCCCUAGUAGCGGCGAGCGAACGGGGAGGAGCCCAAACCGGUGGCGUGCAAGCGUCGAUGCGUUGCGCCGCCGGGGUUGAGAGUGCAUGCCGGAGGGGGAUCGGCCCCCCUCGCGCAGUGAUAAAGUACAAGGUGAGCGGAAGGGUCUGGGAAGGCCGGCCAGAGCGGGUGAAAGCCCCGUACGCGAAGCGUUGUGCCUGCGUGGGCAUGGGACUAGAGUACGGCGGGACACGAGAAAUCCUGCCGGAAGCAGGGGGGACCACCCUCCAAGGCUACAUACUCGGCAGCUACCGAUAGCGCAUAGUACCGUGAGGGAAAGGUGAAAAGAACCCCGGGAGGGGAGUGAAAGAGAACCUGAAACCGUGGACCUACAAGCGGUCAAAGCCGGGGGCGACCCUGGUGAUGGCGUGCCUUUUGUAGAAUGAGCCUGCGAGUUACCGUACGUAGCGAGGUUAAGGGAUAGGAGUCCCGGAGCCGUAGGGAAACCGAGUCUGAACAGGGCGACUAGUUGCGUGUGGUAGACCCGAAGCCAAGUGAUCUAUCCAUGUCCAGGUUGAAACCUGAGUAAAAUCAGGUGGAGGACCGAACCUAAAUCCGCUGAAAAGGGUUGGGAUGAGGUGUGGAUCGGAGUGAAAGGCUAAACAAACUUGGAGAUAGCUGGCACUCCCCGAAA
rnacentral:rRNA from 1 species